rnacentral:misc_RNA from 1 species
CUGAGCGAGGGCCCUCCGGGGUCCAACCUCCCACCCGUGUUUACCGUACCCGGUUGCUUCGGCGCGCCCGCCUCACGGCCGCCGGGGGGCAUCCCCGCCCCCGGGCCCGCGCCCGCCGAAGACCCCCCCUGAACGCUGUCUGAAGAUUGUCGUCUGAGCGAAAAGCGAAAUCAGUUA